GAUUUCUGGCUUGAAACAUUUUGCCGGCCGCGGUUUCGCGUGUUAGUGCUUGAUGUUCUGGCCAUCCUUCCAAUCGCUGUGUACCUUUCUUCAUUGAUUGGUGCAUGGUAUUGGAUCUUUUACUUUGAAAAAAUUAGAGUGUUUAAAGCAGGCUUUUUGCUAUGAAUACAUUAGCAUGGAAUAAUAAUUUAGGACUUUGGCCCUAUUUUGUUGGUUUCUAGGACUGAAGUAAUGAUUGAUAGGGAUAGUUGGGGGUGCUCGAAUUCAGCGGCCAGAGGUGAAAUUCUUGGAUUCGCUGAAGACGAACUCAUGCGAAAGCAUU
rnacentral:rRNA from 1 species